rnacentral:lncRNA from 1 species
CACGAUGUGCCCUGGAGUGAUGGAAAAGCGGUGAUGGCAUGAGCAAGACAGUACCCAAGCCUUCUUACCCAUCGGUAGGUUCAGCCCUCACUUGGCACUCAUGAUCAGUUACUCAAGGACAACAGAGACAAUGAGCUAAGACAUCCAAGAGGCAAUAUUAGGACCAAAUGUAUUACUGACGACAACUGCAUUCGAGGGAACUGUAGUUUGCAUAUUUUAGGACAUUUUUAUAAAGUACUGUAAUUCUUUCAUUGAGGGGCUAUGAAUGAAGACAGACUAACUCAUUUUUAUUACUCGUAUUAAAAUUACUUUGGGUCUUUGUUC